rnacentral:lncRNA from 1 species
ACACGUUUCUUUUUUCUUUUCCAAUUCUCACGCGAUAAUCUCCCCUUCUUCUUCCCAAAGACGCAAAAGUCAAGCAAGAACCUAAUUUCUUCAUCCAAGCAAUUUUAUUUCCGUCAGCCCCUUUUUAAAUUUCAAAGAUUGUAGACUUUAGGUUAGAUUUUGUUGACUUUGGCUUAGAUAAAAUCUCACCCAAAUCUAAUCUGAAUCGGAGGAUAUCACAUCGAAUCCAGAUUUUUGGAGGUAUGUUCUUCUCUUACUCAUUUUCUCCUUCCAUUCUCUCCAAUCAAUCUCUCAUCUCCCGCUCAAACGGCUAUUUGAAUUCAAACCUUUAUUUUUUAUUUUUUGCUAUAAAUACAUGGUAUUGGUGCCAUUUAGACGGAGACAAAAAAAAAUAGGGGACAGACAGAGGAUUGAAAUUUGAAGGUUGGAGAAUAGUAUUCCCUGAAAUCGAACCCACGAAGGUUUGGGCCUCGGAUUUUCAAUUUUCUUUCAAAUUCUUUGGAUCAUCUGUUGGUGGCGGUCAGUGGUAGUAGGAAGCUCUUCAACUCGUUUGUCUCAGUCGCUGCCCUCAAAAAGGUAAAAACCUGUUUCUCUUCUUACUGCUCUGUUAACUUCAGGUGCACCUGGGUUAUUGUGUUUGAAGUUAUGUGUGGUAUUAUUAGUUUUCUCAUCGAGCUCUG